rnacentral:rRNA from 1 species
GACGAACGCUGGCGGCGUGCCUAAUACAUGCAAGUCGAACGCACUCUCGUUUAGAUUGAAGGAGUUUGCUCCUGAUUGAUAAACAUUUGAGUGAGUGGCGGACGGGUGAGUAACACGUGGGUAACCUGCCCUAAAGUGGGGGAUAACAUUUGGAAACAGAUGCUAAUACCGCAUAAAACCUAACACCGCAUGGUGUAGGGUUGAAAGAUGGUUUCGGCUAUCACUUUAGGAUGGACCCGCGGUGCAUUAGUUAGUUGGUGAGGUAAAGGCUCACCAAGACCGUGAUGCAUAGCCGACCUGAGAGGGUAAUCGGCCACACUGGGACUGAGACACGGCCCAGACUCCUACGGGAGGCAGCAGUAGGGAAUCUUCCACAAUGGACGAAAGUCUGAUGGAGCAACGCCGCGUGAGUGAAGAAGGUUUUCGGAUCGUAAAACUCUGUUGUUGGGGAAGAAUGUAUCUGAUAGUAACUGAUCAGGUAGUGACGGUAUCCAACCAGAAAGCCACGGCUAACUACGUG